CCCAGUCUUGAGUAUGUCUUUAUCAGCAGUGUAAAAACGGAUGAACAUACACCGUAAAUGUGACUUUUAUCAUUCAUUUAAGCAUCCUGUUUAUAAAAAUGUAAAUAAUCCAUUUUCACAUAUGCUGUGUUUUCGAUAAAAUAACUUGCUUAAAUCCAAUCCUGGCAUCAUAGAUAAUUUAAGCCAUGGUUUUCUGAUCCCGUCCUCUUUUGUGACUCCAGUCCCACAGACAGGAACCAAAGCCAGCAGAACAAAGCAGCCCCAGAUGUGUUCUACUCUAUUAUCUGAAGUAAAUGAAAAUCAACCCUGAGAAAUAUCAAUAAUAGUGGAAAGUCUCCCACUCUACUUCUACAUAUAUCCUAGUACUGUGUGUGUCAAUCUCAUAUUCUACUGUUGGCCAUGCUGUGUUUCACUGAGAAAAUGGCAAUACUGGUGCUGCUUAUAUAUAAGGUAGGAUUCCCCUCUCACAGAUAGCCACAGCUUUCUUUAAAAGAAGGUACAUUUCCCGAGGAUUAAUCAUUAGGGAAAUUAUUGGUUUCUCCAUUAGCCAGAGUUGUGCAUCACCAGCAACAGAAACCAGCUAUAGCUGACUUAAAGGGAAAAGAAACAUAAAUAUUGGAUAGCUCACAAUAUCAUAAAGAUGACUGAAGAGAUGGUGAGAGAAACAUAAACUAUUUGUAAAUUCUACUCAUUUCCUCCAUAAAAGGGAAUGCAAAAUGUCAUUGAUUUGGGUUAGUUGUACUUCCUAUAUUACAUAAGUAUCACGAUUUGGGGUGACUUUUUACAAGGAGAUAGCAUUAUUUAAUCGUUUUUGAUUUGGGGAGUUAAAAAAGUAUCUUUGCUUUUUGUGCUGGUAGGUGCAUUAUAGGGUCUAAAGUUUUUUUCCUACCUUCCUUCUCACAGGUAGAGAACCUCCUUCUACUACCAUCAAAGUCCUUGAUCUGUUUCCCAACAUGAAUUAACCUUUCCAUGUUUUCGUUACAUUUGAACAUCAGGAAUGUGUAGACGGAAGCAGUUCAUCCUGGGAGGACUUCAAGCAGUAGAAUGAGGCCAACCUGCAAAACUGACCUGUCAUGCCCUGCCUCACCAUCUUAUCCAGUCCUGGACUCAACCAGCUGAACUAAUCCCUAAACCACCAAGUCUACCUUAGAAAAACAGUUCUGGAGGCUGCAAGUCCAAGAUCAAGGUGUCACCAUCAUUGGUUGCUUCUGGGGGCUGUUGAGAAAGAACGUGUUCCAUGCCUCCCACCUAGCAUCUAAAGGACCUAAAUGAAAGUGAUAUUCCUGCCUCUCUCUACCCAUUUUCCUUCCUGGAAAGCAGAAGUGACAUCUUAUUGAUGAGUUGUGGAGAAGCUGCUGAACAUGCAUCUGUAUUUGGGAGACUGUCUGCAGAGAGUACAUAUUCUCAGCUCCUACAAGCUAUAAAGCACUUAGGAUCCAUUGUGUCAGAGCGUGUAACAGGGACCAUGUAAGAGUUUCUAUUUAUAUUUUAUUAUAUUAAUAUCUAUUUACUUUACAUUUUAUUUUUUUAUAAAACAGAAACCUGAAAGAAAUAUGGCAAAAUGUUGAUACUUAAAUAUUAGUAUUGGCUACAUGAGUGUCAUCUUGUUUGCUUUGUUUUUUUAUAUGUUUAAAAAUUAAAUACAAAAAUGUAUGCAACUAUAAGAGUCUAAUAAAUAAAAAUGUAUAAAACUAUAGGUGAUUAAAAAAAUUUAUCUAUUAUUUUUUCUAUCUACAGCAACUCAACAUUUCCUACUAAAUACGGUAAUGACAAUUAUAAUCUCCUAUUUAAAUGUAUUAUAUACAUAUAUUCAGCCUUUAGAAGUGGCUUUAAAGUGCAUCAUUUGAAUUUAUUAAGGGCAUUGCUCUAGAUUGCACGUCUGGUAAGUGCUGUUUGUGGGACUCUAAGGCAUGUCUUCUGAAUACAACUUCUAUGCUUUUUAAAGACACUUAACAGACAAACAUAAUUAGAAUGCUAUGGAGUUUGAAAUGUUCAUUAUAUUGUCUUUUUAAAAAAUCAGAAUAUAUAAGAAAAACCAUUUAGAAAAACAAACCAUUUCGAUGAAAGCUUGAUGAUAGCAACACCCAAAAAAGGCAGCAACAGCCCAGAUGUCCUCAUAGGUGGACAUUUUUCUCUACACCUUCUUCACCAGACACCAUUUUUCCGCAAAUUACUGCAUCAAUGCUCCAAUUCUCUGUUAUCUUUCCUAUAUUCCUUUAUUCACUUUGUUCCUUCUUCUUACAGAAGUCAAUUCUUGCUUCUCUAGCACAAUGUGCUCAGACUUGUCCUACAAAUAAGAGAUUCUAGGCCUGUUUACCCCACAAACUGGACAGCAUCCAUGUAUCCUCCCCACUUGCCAUUUUUGUUUCUAAUGAUCCCUGGAUCACCACAUAAUCCUCUAACAUUGACCCACUGACCUGGAACUAAUGUAGUAGACCUGGAUCCACUGACUCACUGAUCUAAUGUAGUCUCUACUAGUCUCUAUUAGUUUUCCUUACUUCAAGAAUGCAAACAAAAUGUCGAAUAUUAUCCCCUAAAAUUAAAGUAAAACUCCUGACAAUGUUUAAAAAACAGGAGUGUAUAACUGUCAUUACACUGCUACAUUCUGAAUCACUGAUUAGAAUUUGGAAGUGGAAAUUUGAAGAUACAGGUUUUUUUUUGGUAUAGGUAUGUAUUCUGUGUCCUAAAUUUACCUGUAUUUCAGAAAUAUAUCAUGGAAGCUACAUUCAAUAUUAAACAGAUUAUUUUAUUAUUAAAGAAAUAUCAUUCCAGAAUUUAAUGUAUCAUCAAUAAAGCUCUCCAAAGAAAACUGCAUUUUGUGCUUGUACACCUUCUUUAGCAGCCGCUUCUUGUACUAUAGUUUGAGUAAAACUAAAAUUAUGCCCCUACCGUUGACUAAAUUUCCCAAAGCAUUGGAUGUUUAAUUGAAAUUUAUUUAUAUUAUUUUAAGUUUUCCCAGCAUAUGGAAGAAAAGUGAAGUAUCUCUGAAAGAAAGGAAUUUAAAAUGUUGUUAAAAGUAUUUAACAUUAAGUAUUUAUAUUUUGCCUAAAUAAGACAGUAUUAACUACUGCUUUCCCUUAGGCAAGGCAUAAAUAUCUCAUAUACGAGAAUAAAAAGAAAGUAAACUAUUAUUGAAAUCAAUACAAAAGGAAAAAAGCUAUAUCAUAUUUGUCUAUAAAAAGUAGAAAUGACUUCAGCAAAUGAGCUGAAGUUCAAUAUAAAUUAAAUUAAAAUUUCAAUGUCAUUCAUGCAUGUGUAUAUAAACGUAACUGAAACAAAGACAGAAAUGUUAAUAGUUACUAUCUCUGGGUAAUGAGAUUAUGACUUAUUCCUAUUACUUACUUUAUAAUUUACUAAUUUUGUAAAUUUUCUGAAAUGGGCAUGUGUUACCACAGUAAUAAAAAAUUUAUUUAAAAGAUAACACCAUCUAUGCUAUAAAAACCUAUAUGUGCAUUUCUAGUAACAUUGCCAAUACAGUGAAUCUAAGACUUAAGUCAUGAGCAUUGUCCUGUUGUCAGAAAUAUAUGUCAACAUGUUGUGGUCCUCUGCUGAAAUACAUGAGAUCCUGAAUUAUAUUUUGAAGAAAAAUAAGUAGCUAAUAUCAGUGCCCCCUAACAUGACUCAAGACCACCAGACUUUGAGAUACAAAAUGCAAGAAUUUAAAAAGUUUAGUUUCAUACUGUUAAAAACAAUCAAUAUAGAAGAAAAAGGAAAAUAUGCUUUUUAUAUGUAGCAGUUUUGUUUUAAGGUAGGAUUCCUCAGUAUGCACAUAUACACAUAACACAUCACUUAACAUUGAAAGAGAAACACAGGUGUCAGUGAAAGGAUGGGCAACUGACUCCUACUUAAUAGGAUGAUUCCUCUUAAUGCCUACAGAGAGAGUAGAAUCAUAUUAUCUCAAGGCAUGGAUUCUUAUCCCUACCUAUUAUACCCAGUAGGACCAUAGGCCAAUUACCAUUACAAUGAACCCCAGGGAUUUUUCCAAUUCUCAGGUUAUACUGAGUUGUUUUCAUACCCAGGAGUCAACAGUUAACCAGUAAAUACUUCUUGCUUUCCUUCUGUGUUUCACGCGCUGAUCUAGGAGCUGGGAAUAUGGAAUGUGUACCACAGGAAGCUAACAUUCUAAAAAGGGAGGCAGGCAAUCAACACAUAAAUAAAUACUGCAUAAGACAAUUUCAGAUACAGGUGUGAACUGAGAAGAUGAAAUAGGAUAAUGAGAGGGUAUGUGAGGAGAAGGUUGUUGCUAUAGUUAUGAUAGUUAAGGAGUGUCUCUUUAAAGAGAGGAGAAGAAAUGAUCACUGUAAGGUCGAUGGUCUGAGUAACUAGGUGGAUGGUGAUAUCAUUUUAAGGUGAUUGGUAAGCUUGCCUGGGUGGGAAGUGGAUUUCAUCAGUCUGUGUGGGAAAUCACUCAUUCUAAUUCGGUCCAGUUCAUUUUAAUAUGUGAAUUAGUCAUCCAAGUGGAAAUAUGGAAUAGGAUAUAUGAGUCUGUAGCUCUGCAGAGAAUCACAGGAUGGGCGAAAGAUUUUUUUUAAAAAAUAGUUAGAGUCAUAAAAGUUCAGAUACAGAAGAUAACAGGAAAAGAGGCUCUGAGCACGGCAACAAAGGUUUGGUAGGGAAGGAGUACCAAGAGAAGACACUGAGAAGGUGUAGACAUGGGGUAGUGAGAAAACUAGGUGAAUGUGGUGCCAAAAAUUUAAAGAAGAAAAUGUUUAAAUGAGGGAGUUCUCAGCCUAUUCAAAUGCUUCUGAGAGGAUAAGGAGAGAAAACUGACAGUGAUUUUAUUUUAGCAGGGCACAAUGAUGACCUUGAUAAGAACCGUUUGAGUGGAGUAAACACUGACUGGAGUGAGUUGAAGAGAAAAUAAGAGGUGGAAAAAAUACAGAUACAUACCGGAUAAGAUUUUACAAUACCUCAAAGGCUUAUUUCUGAAGGUAGUCAACUGAGGACUGUCCUAUAAAAAUUAAGGGGCAGAUUCACUGUGAGACAAAGGUAAUCUGCUUAUAUUCUAUCUGUUAAACCAAUGCCUACCAUGUUAACUUUAUUUCCUCAUGUGUGGUGAGAUAUUAGUCUGGAAUCUGGCUCAUCUAGAAAUUUUGAAAUGUCACGUGCCUUGGAAAAUAUUGGUGAAUUAACAGUCAACAUCCAUUCAAAUGUAAUAUCCUCUCCUCCAGGGGCUGGAAAACUAAAACUACAUUUUCUAAACUAACUUGCAGCUUCUAAAUGCAGUUAGGCUUGGUAAAUCAGAUGCACAGUUGCAUGAGAUUCGGCAGGCACAAUCUCCACUAUAACUCAAGAACAAUUGUGGAAGCCUUUGUGUUUUCUAUAGCAUGCUUAGUAGAGAGUCCAUUUUCCCAUCACUCAUUUUGUAAGUCAUGAUGCAGGAUUGCCAUCUUGCUGAUUAUUAUAGUAGAUGUGGUUUUGAAGAGGCAGCAGCUUUCUGAACAUGGCAGUUUCCUGACUGUGGCUUUGGUAGGAUAGUUUUGGAAUCAGCUUCCAGAUUUUUGAAAAUGCAGUUGUUCUGAAGUUUGCCUUUAGAAGCCAUUUUACUUUGACAAUAGAAAAUCCCUAUACUAUGGGAAACAUUUUUUGAAAGCCCAACUUAUAGAUGGGUUCUUCUGUCCUCUCAAUGAUUCUGUAAGCCAUUUAAUACCCUAUAAUAAAUUUCUUCCAAUGUAAACAAGUUAGAGAAGAUUGUGUUCUCUAUAUAGAUUUUGCUUUCUCUCUCUCUCUCAACUAACCCCCAACUGAUACACCAUGGUUUUGGUAAUCAACUAUACGCAUUUGCUCUUGUGACAUCUUUUGGACAAUAUAUCAUCU
rnacentral:lncRNA from 1 species